GGCUGGAUAGCUCAGUUGGUAGAGCACCGGAAUAAUUAUUCGGAGGUCGUGGGUUCAAGCCACACUCAAGUCA
rnacentral:tRNA from 1 species